CCCCCUCCAAGGUAUUAAAACCUCUGCUGUUUUUGAAAGACCUCAUGCCUCAUCACUGACCUGUUUGGCAUUACAUCAAAAUCUCUUCUCCUCCUCAUUGCUUGACUGGCACUGGCAAAAAUCAAGACAGGACUGGAUGGCUAUCCUUCUGUGGCAAACUACAGGAGAAGAUAAGUCUUAUUCUAUGCUUUUAACACAAUUUUCCUCUUUCUUCCAUUCUUCUCUCUUUUUUUGUCUUGUCCCCGUAUUUCACUGUUUGCUAAUAUCCAGCCACAGGCCAUUCGUUGUGUUUGGCAGAGGAAGCACUUUUAUUGUUCCGUAACUCCAGGGGGGAUAUGGUGUCUAUGAUGUUGUCUAGGCCCAACCUCCCCCAGGAAGGUUAACUAACUCCAUCCUACUCUCAACAGGGAAAGGAUGCCAACCACACACACCCCUGCCAGACACCCUCUAUAUAGAGAGAAAACAGAUGUAUUGCUACCCAGAAGUACUAUUUAUCCUCACAAUGGUGAUUGCAGCUCAAUUUUGGGGACCAGGAGAAGUUUUCUACAAUCUGAAUCUACAAAUUAUGGAUGAGGAAAAAGGGGAGACUUUUUCCUCUCUAACCUCUCUCUGUGUUCUGGAGUAGCACAUAAGCCUGAUCAAAGGCCCGCUCCUCUGUCUCAAGAGCCAGCGCUGGAACCCAGCAUGCACCUAGAAAUAUGCACUCACAAUCCUAGAAAAUUGUGUUCAUUAAACUCCACCGACAGGUCCUCAACCAGAAUCUGCUCUAUGCCAAAGCAGCAUGCUGCUGUUAAUCCCCCUUUAUAGAUCAGGUCGGGAAAUAAAGAGGGUGGGGCUGAAGUGCAGGGAAGUCUGCACACUUGUUUGGAGGAGAAGAAAAGGAAAAACAGAGAUUUCUUGUUCUCUCCUUUAUGAGCCGAGUUGCCAGGACUGGCCAGACCACUGAGAGAGACACAGGGCUUUUUAGCGUUCAAAGUAUUUUCCCCCUCUUCACAGGGUGAGUGCUACAUUACAACAUGGGAAUUUCAAGCAAGAUUCCAUAAAUGUCUUUCAAACAGUGGCGGCGCAUUGUCACUUCUGUAUUGCUCCUCCCUUUGUGUGCCAAGGAGGAGAUACUCUCAAUCACAGCUGACGACGUUAUUGUGCGCUUACUAGGUGCCAAGCAGGUGGUGCGCUCCUUACGGAAUGCCAUUUCACUCUCCAAGAUCCCUGGGCAUUAGGCGUGGGAGCUGGUGAUGCAGCAGUUUAGAAAGGCAAAGAAAGUUGAUCAAGUAGCAAGGCUGGGAUUUGAACGGGAAGCUUCCAAAAAAAUCUUACACUUAACUUUUUUUCCCC
rnacentral:lncRNA from 1 species